rnacentral:rRNA from 1 species
UACGGAGGGUGCAAGCGUUGUUCGGAAUCACUGGGCGUAAAGCGCGUGUAGGCGGCUAUCUAAGUCUGAUGUGAAAGCCCUGGGCUCAACUCAGGAAGUGCAUUGGAUACUGGAUAGCUGGAGUACCGGAGAGGAGGGUGGAAUUCCUGGUGUAGCGGUGAAAUGCGUAGAUAUCAGGAGGAACACCGGUGGCGAAGGCGUCCCUCGUGGCCGGAUACUGACGCUGAGACGCGAAAGCGUGGGGAGCAAACAGG